UACGUAGGGUGCGAGCGUUAAUCGGAAUUACUGGGCGUAAAGCGUGCGCAGGCGGUUUUGUAAGCCAGAUGUGAAAUCCCCGGGCUUAACCUGGGAAUGGCAUUUGGGACUGCAAGGCUCGAGUGCGGCAGAGGAGACUGGAAUUCCUGGUGUAGCAGUUAAAUGCGUAGAUAUCAGGAGGAACACCGAUGGCGAAGGCAGGUCUCUGGGCUGACACUGACGCUCAUGCACGAAAGCGUGGGGAGCAAACAGG
rnacentral:rRNA from 1 species